rnacentral:rRNA from 1 species
CCUACGGGUGGCUGCAGUGAGGAAUAUUGGUCAAUGGGCGCGAGCCUGAACCAGCCAAGCCGCGUGAGGGAAGAAGGUCCUAUGGAUCGUAAACCUCUUUUGUCGGGGAGCAAAAGACGGGAUGCGUGGCGUUCCGAGAGUACCCGAAGAAAAAGCAUCGGCUAACUCCGUGCCAGCAGCCGCGGUAAUACGGAGGAUGCGAGCGUUAUCCGGAUUUAUUGGGUUUAAAGGGUGGGCAGGCGGAAGAUUAAGUCAGCGGUAAAAUUGGGCGGCUCAACCUCUUCGAGCCGUUGAAACUGGUUUCCUUGAGUGCAUGAGAGGUAGGCGGAAUGCGUGGUGUAGCGGUGAAAUGCAUAGAUAUCACGCAGAACUCCGAUUGCGAAGGCAGCAUGCCGGCGCUCAACUGACGCUCAUGCACGAAAGUGUGGGUAUCGAACAGGAUUAGAUACCCUUGUAGUC